rnacentral:tRNA from 1 species
CCGAGAAUAGCUCAGCUGGUAGAGCGGGAGACUGUAGUUUCACGCGAUAUCUCUAGGUCCCUGGUUCAAUUCCGGGUUCUCGGA